rnacentral:rRNA from 1 species
AGAGUUUGAUCAUGGCUCAGGAUGAACGCUGGCGGCGUGCUUAACACAUGCAAGUCGAACGAAGCACUUUUGCAGAUUUUCUUCGGAACUGAAGUGAAUGUGACUGAGUGGCGGACGGGUGAGUAACGCGUGGGUAACCUGCCCCAUACAGGGGGAUAACAGCCGGAAACGGCUGCUAAUACCGCAUAAGCGCACGGUGCCGCAUGGCACAGUGUGAAAAACUCCGGUGGUAUGGGAUGGACCCGCGUCUGAUUAGCCAGUUGGCGGGGUAACGGCCCACCAAAGCGACGAUCAGUAGCCGGCCUGAGAGGGCGACCGGCCACAUUGGGACUGAGACACGGCCCAG